GAUGAACGCUGGCGGUCUGCUUAACACAUGCAAGUCGAAGGGAAGUAGCAAUACUUUAGCGGCGGACGGGUGAGUAACACGUAAGAAUCUGCCUCCAGGACGGGAAAAACAGUUGGAAACGACUGCUAAUUCCGGAUGAGCCGAAAGGUAAGAAGAAAUUCGCCUGGAGAUGAGCUUGCGGCUGAUUAGCUAGUUGGUAGGGUAAGAGCCUACCAAGGCGACGAUCAGUAGCUGGUCUGAGAGGAUGAGCAGCCACACUGGGACUGAGACACGGCCCAGACUCCUACGGGAGGCAGCAGUGGGGAAUUUUCCGCAAUGGGCGAAAGCCUGACGGAGCAAGACCGCGUGGGGGAGGAAGGUUCUUGGAUUGUCAACCCCUUUUCUCAGGGAAGAAGAUCUGACGGUACCUGAGGAAUCAGCAUCGGCUAACUCCGUGCCAGCCGCCGCCGUAAUAC
rnacentral:rRNA from 1 species